rnacentral:rRNA from 1 species
CCUACGGGAGGCAGCAGUGGGGAAUAUUGCACAAUGGGCGCAAGCCUGAUGCAGCGACGCCGCGUGAGGGAUGACGGCCUUCGGGUUGUAAACCUCUUUCAGCAGGGACGAAGCGCAAGUGACGGUACCUGCAGAAGAAGCACCGGCCAACUACGUGCCAGCAGCCGCGGUAAUACGUAGGGUGCAAGCGUUGUCCGGAAUUACUGGGCGUAAAGAGCUCGUAGGCGGUUUGUCGCGUCGUCUGUGAAAACCAGCAGCUCAACUGUUGGCUUGCAGGCGAUACGGGCAGACUUGAGUAUUUCAGGGGAGACUGGAAUUCCUGGUGUAGCGGUGAAAUGCGCAGAUAUCAGGAGGAACACCGGUGGCGAAGGCGGGUCUCUGGGAAAUAACUGACGCUGAGGAGCGAAAGCGUGGGUAGCGAACAGGAUUAGAUACCCUGGUAGUCCACGCCGUAAACGGUGGGCGCUAGGUGUGGGUUUCCUUCCACGGGAUCCGUGCCGUAGCUAACGCAUUAAGCGCCCGCUGGGGNGCGCGCGAGAACGUAACGUACGAAGAAGUAGAGGCGUGAGACGNGCCGACGGACGACGACGAGGGAGGAGG